rnacentral:rRNA from 1 species
CCUACGGGUGGCUGCAGUGGGGAAUAUUGCACAAUGGGCGAAACCCUGAUGCAGCAACGCCGCGUGUAGGAAGAAGGGUUUCGGCUCGUAAACUCCUAUCAACAGGGAAGAAAAUAAUGAUGUCUCACGAAUAAGCAGCGGCUAACUCCGUCCCAGCAGCCGCGGUAAUACGAAGGGGGCAAGCGUUACUCGCAAUGACUGGGGGUAAAGAGGGGGGAGGCGGCGUUGGAAGUCAGAUGUGAAAGCCGAUGGCUUAACCAUAGGAUUGCAUUUGGAACUGUUAUUCUAGAGUAGAGGAGAGGAAGGUGGAAUUCUUGGUGUAGCGGUGAAAUGCGUAGAUAUCAGGAGGAAUACCAGUGGCGAAGGCGGCCUGCUGGACUGUAACUGACGCUGAGGCGCGAAAGCGUGGGGAGCAAACAGGAUUAGAUACCCGAGUAGUC